UACGUAGGGUGCGAGCGUUGUCCGGAAUUAUUGGGCGGAAAGGGCUCGUAGGCGGUCUGUCACGUCAGGAGUGAAAACUCGGGGCUCAACCCCGAGCCUGCUUCUGAUACGGGCAGACUGGAGGUAUGCAGGGGAGAACGGAAUUCCUGGUGUAGCGGUGAAAUGCGCAGAUAUCAGGAGGAACACCGAUGGCGAAGGCAGGUCUCUGGGCCGAUACUGACGCUGAGGAGCGAAAGCGUGGGGAGCGAACAGG
rnacentral:rRNA from 1 species